UACGUAGGGUGCAAGCGUUGUCCGGAUUUACUGGGUUUAAAGGGUGCGUAGGCGGAGCGGUCAGUCAGUGAUGAAAUGGGGGGGCUCAACCUUACCCGCUGUUACUGAUACUGCCGUUCUAGAGUUCAGCAGAGGUGGCUGGAAUGAGCAGUGUAGCGGUGAAAUGCGUAGAUAUUGCUCAGAACACCGAUUGAGAAGUCAGGUCACUGGGCUUGAACUGACGCUGAGGCACGAAAGCGUGGGGAUCAAACAGG
rnacentral:rRNA from 1 species